AGUUUGAUCCUGGCUCAGAAUCAACGCUGGCGGCGUGCCUCAGACAUGCAAGUCGAACGAUUAAACUUUCCUUCGGGAAAGAUAUAAAGUGGCGCACGGGUGAGUAACACGUAGGUAAUGUACCUUUGGGUGGGGAAUAACUUAGGGAAACUUAAGCUAAUACCGCAUAAUGCAGCGGCUUCUUCGGAAGACAGUUGUUAAAGAUUUAUCGCCUAAAGAGCAGCCUGCGGCAGAUUAGCUAGUUGGUAAGGUAACGGCUUACCAAGGCUACGAUCUGUAUCCGACCUGAGAGGGUGUUCGGACACACUGACACUGAAUAACGGGUCAGACUCCUACGGGAGGCAGCAGUCGGGAAUUUUGGGCAAUGGGCGAAAGCCUGACCCAGCAACGCCGCGUGAAGGAUGAAGUCUCUCGGGAUGUAAACUUCGAAAGAAUGGGAAGAAUAAAUGACGGUACUAUUUAUAAGGUCCGGCUAACUACGUGCCAGCAGCCGCGGUAAUACGUAGGGACCAAGCGUUGUUCGGAUUUACUGGGCGUAAAGGGCGCGUAGGCGGCGUGACAAGUCAAUUGUGAAAUCUCCGGGCUUAACUCGGAACGGUCAAUUGAUACUGUUGUGCUAG
rnacentral:rRNA from 1 species